rnacentral:rRNA from 1 species
GUGGGGAAUCUUGCGCAAUGGGCGAAAGCCUGACGCAGCCAUGCCGCGUGGAUGAUGAAGGUCUUAGGAUUGUAAAAUCCUUUCACCGGUGAAGAUAAUGACUGUAGCCGGAGAAGAAGCCCCGGCUAACUUCGUGCCAGCAGCCGCGGUAAUACGAAGGGGGCUAGCGUUGCUCGGAUUUACUGGGCGUAAAGGGCGCGUAGGCGGACAUUUAAGUCAGGGGUGAAAUCCCGGGGCUCAACCUCGGAACUGCCUUUGAUACUGGGUGUCUUGAGUAUGAGAGGGGUGUGUGGAACUCCGAGUGUAGAGGUGAAAUUCGUAGAUAUUCGGAGGAACACCAGUGGCGAAGGCGGCUCACUGGCUCGAUACUGACGCUGAGGUGCGAAAGCGUGGGGAGCAAACAGGAUUAGAAACCCGGGUAGUCC